GGAUGGGCACAACUUGGAAGAUUUUGGCUUUGUGAUCCUCAGUGUCCAGUGUCACCCAGAUGGGCCGGAAGCUGCCUUUGAAGCCAACGAAUGCCAUUUGCUCUGAAAAGCAAUGAUGAGUCUCCUGAGCAAAAGCCCUAUGAGAGGACGGCUGCCCCACCCCGUUCCAUGGCUCACCAUCGCCAGCCCCCCACGCCCACCAGACAGAAAAAAAUCCUACAUCUUCCAGCAAUGGCUCCAGCACAGUCCUCUACCACCUGCUGGGGAGAAUCAGCCUUCAUGUGUGGACAGCAUCUCCACAUGAAACCCACUUGCAUCUCAUCUCAUCUCAUCCUCACGACAGCCCUAUGUGUUUGGUGUUGUUUCGCCACUUGACUGAGCAGGAAACUGAGGUUCAGAGAGGUUAAGCUACUUGCCCAAGGUCCCACAGCUCACAGUCUGUGGAUCAAGCCCUUGAACCCAGGCCCCCCUAGACUGGGCUCCAAAGCCGAUGAUCUCUUCUCCUUACUCAGUGGGAGGUUUUAAAUCAGAGCAUUUAAAACACAGAAACAACAGACAAUCCUUUAUAAUAGAAGAGUACAUCGAAUAGAACCACACUAGUGUCACACAGACAGCCUCCUCAUUUUCCCAUAACCAUAUGCCUGUUGGCGAGGCUCGCUCUGCUUGGUUUAAAGCAGUGCUUACAAACUCAAAUGCCCACAGGGACCAGCAGGCAAUGAAAGGAGUGGCACCGGCCUGGGGUUUUACAGUAAUUGUAACAGCCAUGGUAGGCCUGCUGCACACUGGAGAAUGCACACCCACCUGUCUUAGGGGAGGCAGCCUUGACUCUGCUCUAAGCCAUUGUUGCCAUGCAGGGAGGCAGGAUGGGCAUUGCCAACUCAUCCUACUUUUCAAAAGAAGCCAGGAAUCCAGAUUUUUAUGUAGAAUCUCUUAAUUUUUAAAUGAUGGAAACUAAUUCAAAUGUUUCUUUAACCACUAUUUAAGCCAAACAAAACACAUCGUGUAGCUGGAUUCAGCUUAAAGGGUGUCAUUCUGUGACAUCCGGUUUUAAAGUUUAUAGAGGAUAUAAAGUGUAGUUCAUUUAAAGAAAGUCCAAUUUAGUGUAAAAUUAUCAAUUUAGUGUAAAAAUGUUCAAAUGUUUCUCUAAACACAGUAUAAGCCAAACAAAACAUAUCUGGUUGCUAGAUUCAGCUUGCGGGGUACCACUUUGUGAUGUCCAGUGUUAAAGUUUACAGAGGAUAGAAAUGUAGUUCACUUCGAGAAAGGUCAAUUUAGUACGAAAAUUAUCUGUGGAAAUCAAGACAAGCCUCUGAUACACAUGCCAAUUUGUUAAUGAGAGUAUUUCUCCCAGCAGCACUUGCUCUGAAGGAACACUUGGUUCAUCAGAAGAAAAAAAGCCCAUUGUUGUCACCAUCUCAAAUCUGUUGGGUAGAUACCACAGCCGAGUCUUCGCAUGAUCCCCCUGUCUGCAGUUAGCAGAGCUGUCAUGCUGUGUGGCCGUGGAAUGAUCUCCAGAUUUCAUGUGAUGCCAGUGAAGUACAGGAAAAACUGGACUCCCAGAAACCACCACAAAGUAAUCACUCUCCCAUCUCUGCUUGGUACCUUUGAUUCUUCCACAAGCACAUCUCGGGCAGCCAAAAAGAUUGUGUCGAAUUUUAUGUUCUGUGGGUUUCUUUCCAAAAUAAUAGAUAUGGAGUUUGCAAUCUCCCCCAUGAGAAGAAUAUGUUUUGGGAAGAAUGGGAGUCAUAUGGAAGUGACUUGAACCCAACUCUCAGCCUGGAGUCAGGCUCAGUCUAGAGAAGCUGAUCCCUAGACAACCUGCAGAUACAUGAGUAAGAAAUAAAGACCUGUCAUGAAGUUUU